CCGAUGAAAACUCCCUGGCAGGGCGCACAGACCUCUAUCUACAGCGCUGUCACUGAGGGCUUAAAAAGGAAGUCUGGCUGCUACUUCAGUGCUUGCAAAGAAAAAGACCCAACCGCCACUGACACAUCAUUCCUCUACACUCUUCCUGAUUGUAAACACGAUGAUACCUGCAACCUCAAACUUACCAGUGCAGUGGCCGCAGAUGUGAAGUCAUGUCAGAGCUAUUGCCAAAUCAAAUAACAUGAUUUGCAUCAGAAGA